CCUAUCGGAAGACAGGGCCUUUUGUUUUUGUCUGUUUCUGCCGGAUGGCGGCUCCGCCUUAUCCAGCCUACAGGGACGCGCCGAUCCACCCUCAAUAUAACCACAAGCCUUCCCAACACAGAUACGGUAAACUAUUGCCGAUUGAGUAUCAGGAAAGCAGCCAUGACCCACUCCCUAAAAC
rnacentral:misc_RNA from 1 species